rfam:Hordeum vulgare subsp. vulgare, WGS project CAJW01000000 data, contig: morex_contig_55395
UUAAUACUCCCUUCGUCCCAAAAUUCUUGUUUAGAUUUAUAUAGAAAUAGAUGUAUUUAAAUACUAAAACGUGACUAGAUACAUUCAUAUCUAGACAAAUCCAAGACAAGAAUUUUCGGACAGAGGGAGUAUAUG